AGGCAGUAUAAAGGAGUCAGAGCUUCUGUUCAUCAGAAUCCAUACGGCAGAGUCAGGGAGAUGGUUCUGGGAGAAGAAAAGAAAGUCAGUUGCUUUCUGAGAUCAGGUGGGAAGUUUAUCAUGUCAACUCCACCUUUAGAGUGCUAGUCUCUGGAGCCACAAGGACUGAAACUCUGCUUCAGAGACCCACCACUGAUGACAACCAUCAGGCUCAGGAACCGAAAAGAACUGGUGCAAAUGUGGCCAAGGGACUUGGGUUUUACAUUUAUUGCCGAGUCUGGUUUUCUUGAGUUUCAGAUGAUAAAAUUGAAGCCCAGAGAAGGUUGGGAGCCUCCACUGGUAAUGGAAAAACCAUAACUAGAACUCAGUUUUCGUGAGACCUUUUUUCUAUUCAUUCCCCUGCCCUCGGGCCACUCCGGGGCACUGAGCACACUUGCUUUGGCUAUUUGGAGAAGAGGCCAAUAGACACAACUGGCUUCAUCUUCAGGGACACCCAAUAUCUGUCAGCCCUCAGCCCCAGCAGAGUCUUUAUUGAAAGAACUGAUUCAUAGACCAGGCGCAGUGGCUCAUGCCUAUAAUC
rnacentral:lncRNA from 1 species